AGAAUUGCUAACAGAUAUUUUUACUGUAGCAAAAAUAUGACCUAACCUCUAGAAUGUUAUGCUUUCCACACAGCCUGCCUGCCAUUUGUCCCUCACACAACCCCACUUAAAAAACAUCUGUCCCUUUUACCUCAACAAGCUAAUCUUCAUUGUAAUAUUAUUCAUAAUGUUUUAUCGCUGUAACUCAAUGUUUGCUGUUUAAUUCUCUCAUGUUUUAUUAUUUAUUUUCUUCAUUUUUUGUCAGAUGACAUGAACCUGAGUGAUUCUGAGCAAAGCGAAGACAGUGAGUUUGAUGAACAGCAGCCCCUCAUACAUUCACAUACAAGUGUUGGUAAGUGUGCCUAGAAAUAUUUUUAACUAGAAAUAUUAAUAACUGAAUUGGCACAAACCUGCUUAUAUUACAUGAACUUUAUUGAGCCGCACUAUUAAUUCUACAGGAAUGAAAAGAGCCAGCCAAUAUGAGCAGGAAUGUCCAGGAACCUCAGGUGAUAUGACUAAGCAUCCUCGUUGAUGUUUGAUUCAUUACAUGUAGUAAUGUUAGAUGGAUGUUUGUUAGAUGGAUACAGCAGUGCAGGAGUCAUCACAGGGCAUGCCAUAGGAGCUACAGCUGCUCUUGUCUGUAUGUCUCCAUUUCCAGUACUUCAGUUCAGUCAUUAGUCAUUUUAUCAUGACAUGGCAGGGAGACUUGAAUAUAAAUUAUUUUUAAUGGAUGCAUUCCUUUUAGCUAUGCAAGUUCAAGUGGUCUGCUAUUGUACAUGCUAACUGGCAUGGCAUGGCUUAUUGGGAUAUACCUGAAUCAUAAUCAAUCAUAGUCAUUAUUGUUGUCCUGUACCUGUAAUGACAGGUCAAAUCAUCACAUGAACAUUCAACUACUUUAUUCUGUAGGGAUGAAGAGAGACAGGCAGCCUGUUGAGGAACCUCCAGGCACCUCAGAUGGGAUGAAGAGAGACAAGCAGCCUGCUGAGGAACCUCCAAGCACCUCAGAUGAUAUUGACUCUGCCAUUGAAAGCACAUCUACUGUGAGUCUGGAUGCCAAGGGAAAUAAUGCAAGGAGAUCUGUUUUAAGUACACUUUCCUGUUGGGAUGAAGAGGCCCAGGUAGCCUGUUGGCACGUCAGAUGGUAUGACCCCUAACUCAAUCCACCAGCUUCCUCGAGGUUGGAGCAGUGAAUGGUGUGAAAGAUUUGGUUCUAUAAUGUUGCAGCACUUUUUUAGUUUUUUGUUAAAUGUUUUAAAAUGUACAAGCCAAGAUGUUUUAUGAUUGUUUUUGCUGCAAUAAAUGUGGCUUGCAGUGCA
rnacentral:lncRNA from 1 species